rfam:Candidatus Zambryskibacteria bacterium RIFCSPHIGHO2_01_FTLL_44_22b rifcsphigho2_01_scaffold_9318, whole genome shotgun sequence.
CCACCUUUAGCUCAAUGGUAGAGCGCUCCGCUUAUAUCGGAGUGGUUCCUGGUUCGAGUCCAGGAAGGUGGA